AAAAGGCAGUUCGAUUACAACAGAAAAACGGACACUAUUUAUGGGGUGUCCGCUAACGGAAAUGCCGCCAAGCAGGCAAUGGUCCUGAUGACCAGGGGAAUCCUGGGGAAGUGGAAGCAGCCAAUUGGAUACUUCUUUUCCUCCAGCUCCAUGCUGUCGGAGGAGAUUGCAGACACCAUCAGGGGAGCCAUUCACCACCUGCAGGCUAUAGGCCUGACAGUUCAGGCAAUUGUGUGUGACCAAGCCACCACCAAUGUCCGGGCCUUACACCUGCUUGGGGCCACUCUAGACCCUCAGGGGGGGGGGGAUGACUCCCA